CCCUGGUAGUCCACGCUGUAAACGAUGUCUACUAGCCGUCGGGGUCCUUAGUGACUUUGGUGGCGCAGCUAACGCGAUAAGUAGACCGCCUGGGGAGUACGGCCGCAAGGUUAAAACUCAAAUGAAUUGACGGGGGCCCGCACAAGCGGUGGAGCAUGUGGUUUAAUUCGAUGCAACGCGAAGAACCUUACCAGGUCUUGACAUCCUCGGAACUUGGCAGAGAUGCCUUGGUGCCUUCGGGAGCCGAGUGACAGGUGCUGCAUGGCCGUCGUCAGCUCGUGUCGUGAGAUGUUGGGUUAAGUCCCGUAACGAGCGCAACCCUUGUCCUUAGUUGCCAGCACGUCAUGGUGGGAACUCUAGGGAGACUGCCGGUGACAAACCGGAGGAAGGUGGGGACGACGUCAGGUCAUCAUGGCCCUUACGACCUGGGCUACACACGUGCUACAAUGGCUGGUACAGAGGGUUGCGAAGUCGCGAGGCGAAGCUAAUCCCUUAAAGCCAGUCGUAGUCCGGAUCGGAGUCUGCAACUCGACUCCGUGAAGUCGGAAUCGCUAGUAAUCGCGGAUCAGAAUGCCGCGGUGAAUACGUUCCCGGGCCUUGUACACACCGCCCGUCACACCAUGGGAGUGGAUUGCACCAGAAGUGGCUAGUCUAACUACGGAGGACGGUCACCACGGUGUGGUUUCAUGACUGGGGUGAAGUCGUAACAAGGUAACC
rnacentral:rRNA from 1 species